GAGCGGCGGACGGGUGAGUAACACGUAGGCAACCUACCCUUGAGAUUGGGAUAACUACCGGAAACGGUAGCUAAUACCGGAUACGACUUUCCUGCAUAAGCAGUUAGGUUAAAAGGCGGAUUUAUCUGCCGCUCAUGGAUGGGCCUGCGGUGCAUUAGCUAGUUGGUGAGAUAGUGGCUCACCAAGGCGACGAUGCAUAGCCGACCUGAGAGGGUGAUCGGCCACACUGGGACUGAGACACGGCCCAGACUCCUACGGGAGGCAGCAGUAGGGAAUCUUCCGCAAUGGACGCAAGUCUGACGGAGCAACGCCGCGUGAGUGAUGAAGGGUUUCGGCUCGUAAAACUCUGUUGUUAAGGAAGAACACUUGAGGUAGUAACUGGCCUUGAGAUGACGGUACUUAACCAGAAAGCCACGGCUAACUACGUGCCAGCAGCCGCGGUAAUACGUAGGUGGCAAGCGUUAUCCGGAAUUAUUGGGCGUAAAGCGCGCGUAGGCGGUAAAAUAAGUCUGAUGUGAAAGCCC
rnacentral:rRNA from 1 species